AUAAACUGUAACUCACAUAUCAAGAGAUAUGGAGAAAGCUUGGCUCAAGUUUGCUCUCCUAAUUGGCCUCCUGGUUAUUGCAUCUUGUUUUCCAUUGGGAGCAGAAUCAAGGAGAGUAGUCAGUCUGCGUUGUAAGGUUGCUAAGGACUGCAAAUUUCUUUGUCCAACCUGCAAAUUUUGCUUUUGUUUUGACCACUUGUGCGCCUGUAGUAAUAAGGAGCUCACAGCGCAAGCCAUCAUUGGUCAGCAGGGAGAUUAGCAACAAGUUCCUUUGCAUUAUUAUAUUGCUAGAGCAUAAGGGAUGUGAAUAGACAAAGAGUUGAUCAAUAUAUAAUAGAAGUUGAUGACUA